ACCAGAUGAAAGAAGAUGAAAGCAUAUUUACCCUGCAUAACCUGCACACAUCAGGAAUCAGGGCUGGAACCCACAAGUACUUUUUGCACUUAGAAGUUUCAGCCCAUUUCAAAGGCUAGGUGACCAAGGAAAUACUGAGAUUUUCCAUUAUGGGAGGUAGGGAGGCAUUAACAAUAAUCUGUGAAAGUAAUUCCUUCUAAGAUGCAGUCCACCCAGCCACAAGCUCUAAACAGCUCCUCUUCUUCCCCUGCAYCACCCAUCCCAAAUGCCAGAUAUCAGCCAGGCAAGCCCCCAUACAGAAAUAUGAAGUAACAGAUGGAAGUGGGGAAUAAGAGCAUAGGAAUAAUACUGAAAGAAAUGACAUACAGAAAAGAAGCUUAUAAUAGGGCAGAUCUUAAACGUGAGUAACCCUAAACCAUAAAGUCAAUUCAUUUGAUUAGAACAAUGUUGAACAGAUGCACAUUCACAAAGGGCUGAGUUAGAGAGCCUUAUUCUCUCAUGACUCAUGCCAUUGUGCAGAGGUCUUGUAACAUCCAUGGAAUUAAACCUUUGAAAUGCCAGUACAAGUAAAUGGAGAAAUAAAAAUAAUCAAACUUCAGAGAUAAAGUAUUGUCAGCAAAUAUCCCGUGCUGCUGUAUCAGGAAAGAAAGGUAGGUUGCCACAUUUAAUUUAAAUAUAUUUGAUUUAGAUAUAUACGUAAUCACAGGGGUUUUCAUAAACAAAAUGCAUCUAAUCUACCAUAAAGAAGAAAAUGAGUUGAUUCUAUUCUUGUCUAAUUAUCCAGUAGGCUACAUCAAUGACUUUCAGUUGUAUUAGAUAGGAAAUUUGGUUGAGUUAAAUAAUGUAAUAAAUACCUCUGCAGGCAGAUCAAUCAAAGAAACAGGACAGUUUACAAAAUAGACACAGGUAGCACACUGAUGAACUCCAGGCUUUUGGAGCGAGUUCUCUUUACAUAAGCACAGGCAAAACCCCCCCACACUUAUAAAUAUGUAAAUAAUCAUGGAUGGAUGAAGGAGAGUAUAGAGCAUCUUUUACCAAAAGAUAAAGCAAAGAAACAGCAAUUCAUAAGUCAGUGAAUCSAUCACAUAAUUUCAGCACAGCAAGAGUGGACCUAGCAAAAAAGAAUUUUAACAAGCUGAGCUGCAAGAAUACCUUCUGCAGAAGAACUCUGCUCACAAAUGCAAAUAAGAAAGAAGUCUGGGAAACUACCAGCUCCUUGCACAAAGACUGAAAUAUGACAGGCAGAGAAGGGUGUUGGUGUCGACAUUUGAGGAUGCAGUCAAGUCAAUGGAGUUCUGUUGUAGUGGUUGCUUCAGUGAACAUUCAACGCUGUCGGCCUUAACACCGAAGAUAGCAACCUAACCAUCAUAUGGUGUUUCUCCCCCACCCUGCCAAGCUUUACAAAAAGGUCACAAUCAACAUUCAUUGCUGUCGGUGGGUUUAACUAUGUGGACAAGCUCACUGAACAAUGAAUGCAACUGUGGCCCCACAUUGUACAGUUGCCGUUGAGAGGAGCAGCAGCUCUGAAGGCAGUAGUGAGAAGCAAACACUUCUUAUAAGCUACAAUUUUCUGGUCAGAAAAAUAGUUGGGGGUAUCCAUGUUGUGCUUAYUUGGUUUUUGAGUGUGUUUAACUUAGCUGACUAGGAGAAAAAAACCCACUGCCUUUUUGUGGAAUAUUGUCCUCACAGGGUUCAACAUCAUUGAAAAUGUGAAAGUUCAUGUUUAGUUAUGUAUGCUGAAAAAAAAAAAAAAAAACUAGGAGAGGAAGCUCUGUAUAUCCAYUCCUAAGGACUCUGACAUAAGAGGAAAGAAAAAUUAAUUGCCAUUUUAACUAGGCAUUGUUGAAUAGUUCAAAAAUUUAUUCUAUACUAGUCAUGACAAAUACAAAUGGGAAMAAAUGGGAUUUGAAAGUUAUGGAUAAAAUGUUAUAUAAAAAUAUUAAUUAACUUUACAUGAGACUGAUUUCAAGACCACAAGUACAAUUGCAUUUGCCUUUUUUAGGGAUCUGGAAGAUGACAAAUGUAUAUGCAGAAAUAAUAAUAGAAAAGCAGUUAAACUGGAAAAUGAUUGUAAACUGAGAAUCUGUCACACUGAGUACUGCAGAUACAAAUAAUAAAAGUAUAAAUAAGCUCACAAUUGUGUCCUUAUUUCUUUAUAACUCUUUAUUAACCUGGUUAAACACACAGAAGGAMCAGUCUACAUUUCUCACAAUCAUCCAAGGUAAGUUCAGCCUUUAGACUAAAUGCAACACAAAUAUUCUGCAGUAGGAAUUGCUUGCAAAAUUAGGAAAUCUC